rnacentral:rRNA from 1 species
GAUGAACGCUGGCGGCGUGCCUAAUACAUGCAAGUCGAGCGAACGGACGAGAAGCUUGCUUUUCUGAUGUUAGCGGCGGACGGGUGAGUAACACGUGGAUAACCUACCUAUAAGACUGGGAUAACUUCGGGAAACCGGAGCUAAUACCGGAUAAUAUUUUGAACCGCAUGGUUCAAAAGUUAAAGACGGUCUUGCUGUCACUUAUAGAUGGAUCCGCGCUGCAUUAGCUAGUUGGUAAGGUAACGGCUUACCAAGGCAACGAUGCAUAGCCGACCUGAGAGGGUGAUCGGCCACACUGGAACUGAGACACGGUCCAGACUCCUACGGGAGGCAGCAGUCGGGAAUCUUCCGCAAUGGGCGAAAGCCUGACGGAGCAACGCCGCGUGAGUGAUGAAGGUCUUCGGAUCGUAAAACUCUGUUAUUAGGGAAGAACAUAUGUGUAAGUAACUGUGCACAUCUUGACGGUACCUAAUCAGAAAGCCACGGCUAACUACGUG